rnacentral:rRNA from 1 species
AGCGAGCGGCGGACGGGUGAGUAACACGUGGGUAACCUGCCCAAGAGACUGGGAUAACACCUGGAAACAGAUGCUAAUACCGGAUAACAACACUAGACGCAUGUCUAGAGUUUGAAAGAUGGUUCUGCUAUCACUCUUGGAUGGACCUGCGGUGCAUUAGCUAGUUGGUAAGGUAACGGCUUACCAAGGCAAUGAUGCAUAGCCGAGUUGAGAGACUGAUCGGCCACAUUGGGACUGAGACACGGCCCAAACUCCUACGGGAGGCAGCAGUAGGGAAUCUUCCACAAUGGACGAAAGUCUGAUGGAGCAACGCCGCGUGAGUGAAGAAGGGUUUCGGCUCGUAAAGCUCUGUUGGUAGUGAAGAAAGAUAGAGGUAGUAACUGGCCUUUAUUUGACGGUGAUUACUUAGAAAGUCACGGCUAACUACGUGCCAGCAGCCGCGGUAAUACGUAGGUGGCAAGCGUUGUCCGGAUUUAUUGGGCGUAAAGCGAGUGCAGGCGGUUCAAUAAGUCUGAUGUGAAAGCCUUCGGCUCAACCGGAGAAUUGCAUCAGAAACUGUUGAACUUGAGUGCAGAAGAGGAGAGUGGAACUCCAUGUGUAGCGGUGGAAUGCGUAGAUAUAUGGAAGAACACCA